CCAAUAGGAUCGCAGUAGCUUUUCCACACACAGCUUUCAAACAUGGCGAAGCGCAAGAGAGAGAAUGGUGCUGCUAGGUGGGACAGUGUAAUGGAGGGAAGGUUUAUUGAGCUAUGGCAACAAUACUCCUGUCUCUAUGAUGUCUCCGCGAGGGACUACCACGACAGAAUCAUAAAAGAUCAAUGUUGGCAAGCGAUAUCGGAAGAGCUCCAUCAACCCGUUGUUGAGGUCCAAACAAAAGCUACUUCUCUCCGAACACAAUAUUCCAGAAUACUUCAUCCAAAGAACGGAGACAAAGAAUUAACUUCCAGACAGAGAUGGAUUUUAAAUAGCCUGCAGUUUCUACAACCUUUUAUUGUCCAGCGAGGAUCUCAGUCUGCAUUGACUCUGGAUGACUUGGAACACAGCAUCACAGAUGAGGGUGCAGAAGACCAGCAGGAGAUAGAGAAAGAUGUGUCCGAAUCGUCCACGUCCACCCCUCACCACACAUCUAGGCCGUCAACUCCACUAACCUUACCUGAAGCUUCAUCAUCCCACCAUCGUCAGGUUGCAAACAACAAUCCAGAGAGACCGCAUUAUAGCAAGUCCAAAAAAAAGUCGAGAGACAUAUCACUGGAUGAACUUGAAAGGGAAAAAGUGAACAUUUUAAAAAAUGUGUCUGAAACGCUUCUAGAUGUCAGUCAUGAUGUUGAUGAAACAUUUGGCAGACAGGUGAUAACUGAGAUGAAGCUGAUCAAAAACCCACUGACCAAGAUGAGACUGCGUCGCAACAUCCUUAUGAUGUUAUACGAUGCACAUGAACAUGAGAUGAGAUUACAGUCACAUUCAGACUCCCAGCAAGCCUUCUGGCCCCAAACACCUUGGCAGGGACACACAAAUCAGAAACAAAACAUUCAGACCGUGGAUGACGAUCUGCAUGCGCGUGUCCCCCCUGUCCAACCGGCUCCUGCGCAUACUGAAAAUGAUGUAUCCGCAAGGAAUUCAGUGGCUGAGCAGGAAGGGAAAUAUUUAGCUACUGAAAAAGACGAAGAGGUUGAAAAUGAUGCAUCCAAAAUAAAUUCAGUGACUGAGAGCUGGUUAUUUUAAAAAGAGGAAGGUUUGCAAACACAUAUCGACUUUACUUGAAAUCGCUUGAACACACAGAAUGAAAGUUUUUGCUGAAAAGCCUGUUUCUGUAAGAAGGUUGAAAAUGAUUUAUUCAUACAAUGAUUUCAGUCACUAAGCUGCCGUGGAAAGAGCUGGUUGUUAAAAAAGAAGAAGAAAUUGAAAAUGAUCUGUCCUCACUAAAUUCGCAGAGCAGCAGUGGAUAGAGCAGAUUAUUAAAAAAGAAGAGAACAAAGCCAAAGUGGAGUUGAACUGUGAACCAGACUGAUGGUUACAACCACAACCCCCAAGCAAGAGGUGAAGAGAAGAAACAUUUUACCAAGACUUUAUACUUGAUCUUUAAGGGCAAAGGAGGCAACCACUAUUCGGUUGAAUAUAGUUCUUGUGGGACAAUGGUGUACAAAGAUCAUUAGGAGUGACAGAAAUGAUCUCACUCACUAGAUGACUGAUACUUGUAAAUAACAUAAGUAGCAUAAAUAAAUAUUGUUUUUAACAGUU